CCUACGGGUGGCAGCAGUAGGGAAUCUUUCACAAUGGGCGCAAGCCUGAUGGAGCCACGCCGCGUGCAGGAUGAAGGCCUUCGGGUUGUAAACCGCUUUUAUAAGGGAGAAAUAUGAUGGUAACUAUUGAAUAAGGAUCGGCCAAAUACGUGCCAGCAGCCGCGGUCAUACGUAGGAUCCGAGCAUUAUCCGGAGUGACUGGGUGUAAAGAGUGGCGUAGGUGGAAUAAUAAGGAGCGAGUGAAAUCUGGUGGCUCAACCAUUCAGACUAUUAGCUAAACUGGUAAGCUCGAGACCGUUAGAGGUAACUGGAAUUUCUGGUGUAGGGGUGAAAUGCGUAGAUAUUAGAAGGAACACCGAUAGCGUAGGCAGGUUACUGGAACGGUUCUGACACUAAGGCACGAAAGCGUAGGGAGCAAACGGGAUUAGAUACCCCAGUAGUC
rnacentral:rRNA from 1 species